GCAUUCUUUCGGGGUCAGUUCCUUCCUUCCACCGUGGGCUGUUGCAAUCAAAUUCAGGUUGUCAGGCUUGCUCAGCAAGCAGUUUUCCUCGUGGAGCUGUCUCACCUCCUGGCUUUCGUUUCUGCUGCGAGCUCAUCAGACCUGAGCUUAGAGGAUGCCCGGGCCUCACAGAUACCUAGCCAUGCUCUUCUGUUGCCUGAAGCAUCUGGCACCUAUAGAUGUUGGAUUUGGGACUUCUUCCAGGAUUCAGGGGUAGCUGGUGAGCCAAAGAUGAACUAUAUGAGAACAGAGACUCCCAGGCGAUGCUGAUGCUUCGAGGCUGGACCACGCUUUGAAAGCUUUGAGUCCAUCAUCGGCGAGCCUCCUUCCAGGGGAUGAGGAUGGGCCUAGUGACUCCCGAAGUCAGAUUUGAUGAGCUUCCUUGUCAGUGUGGCGCAGCGAAAGCUCCGCCCUCAUUUAUUCCUCCUCCUCUGAACCUCGCAAAGGACUAGCAUUGUCUCUGCACACCCCAGAUCUUCCAGAAGGAGGGAUGGAAGACAGCACUGCCUUCAGACUGAUGAUGAACCGGACAGAAACCCCAAAGAAUAUGCAACUCGGGCAUUUGAACUAAGGAGAGCUCUGUAAAACGGCUGCAUGGUGCUUGAAACCAUAAUUUGCUUUUCUACACAAUUUCUAUCCAACGGAAUUUCUGUGCACUUACAAUAAAUAACCAGGUAGAAAAUAGAA